rnacentral:lncRNA from 1 species
GCCCCUCUCAAUUAGGACUCUCCUAGCUAGAGUCCUAAUAGAAUGUCCCUCUCAAUUAGGACUCUCCUAGCUAGAGUCCUAACAGUUUUACAUGAAUGUCCUUCUCAAUUAGUACUCUCCAAGCUAGAGCCCUAACAGACCCGCCCUCUUCAAAUCAGCCUUGUCCUCGAGGCUGAUGAUUCGUGAAUUCUGGGAAUUUGAUCUUCAAG